rnacentral:rRNA from 1 species
GGAGUUAGCCGGUGCUUCUUCUGUGAGUGAUGUCCUUCCUGCCGGUUAUUGACCCGCAGGCCUUCUUCCUCACUGAAAGUGCUUUACAACCCGAAGGCCUUCUUCACACACGCGGCAUGGCUGGAUCAGGGUUGCCCCCAUUGUCCAAUAUUCCCCACUGCUGCCUCCCGUAGGAGUCUGGGCCGUGUCUCAGUCCCAGUGUGGCUGAUCAUCCUCUCAGACCAGCUACGGAUCGUCGCCUUGGUGAGCCGUUACCUCACCAACCAGCUAAUCCGACAUAGGCUCAUCCGAUAGCGCGAGGCCCGAAGGUCCCCCGCUUUCCCCCGUAGGGCGUAUGCGGUAUUAGCCUGGGUUUCCCCAGGUUAUCCCCCACUACCGGGCAGAUUCCUAUGCAUUACUCACCCGUCCGCCGCUCGCCACCAGGGAGCAAGCUCCCCGUGCUGCCGCUCGACUUGCAUGUGUAGUCGUCGCCGCCGACGCGUCUACUACUCGAGACCGACGGACGUACGAAACCUAACCUACGUACGUACGACGGACGGGCGGUCGGCGGAACGGGACGGCCGACGUA